GAUGAACGCUGGCGGCGUGCCUAACACAUGCAAGUCGAGCGAGAUGUAUAUGGACGAAACUUCGGUCUAGGAAAUAUAUUGACAGCGGCGGACGGGUGAGUAACGCGUAGGCAACCUGCCCUUAACACAGGGAUAGCCUCGGGAAACCGGGAUUAAAACCUGAUAAUGCCAAAUAGUCACAUGGCUGUUUGGCCAAAGAUUUAUCGGUUAAGGAUGGGCCUGCGUCUGAUUAGUUUGUUGGUGGGGUAACGGCCUACCAAGACUACGAUCAGUAGCCGACCUGAGAGGGUGAUCGGCCACAUUGGAACUGAGACACGGUCCAAACUCCUACGGGAGGCAGCAGUGGGGAAUAUUGCACAAUGGGCGAAAGCCUGAUGCAGCAACGCCGCGUGAGCGAUGAAGGCCUUUGGGUCGUAAAGCUCCGUCCCUGGGGAAGAAAAAAAUGACGGUACCCAAGGAGGAAGCCCCGGCUAACUACGUGCCAGCAGCCGCAGUAAAAC
rnacentral:rRNA from 1 species